UUUACUUUUGAUAUGAUUUGGAGUUUUUUCAUAUCAGAUUAUUCGAGUUGUUGACCUAAAAUUAGAAAGUAUAACAGUGUAGUAGUGUUAAUAUUACUAAGAAGGUUGCUUACUCCAUUUCAUUAAGUUUACCUUUCUUAUGACAAGGGAUGUUUGAAACACUUGAAGUCAUCCAUCUAUAAGUGUGUUAUUUCUCUAUUUGGGGGAACAAAAUUCUUGUCAGAACUAAAAUAUUUGCGAAUUACUUUUGUUGUCUUAGUUUUGUAAGAGUCCUGCAGGACUGCUUGUUGGGCACAUUCGGCUAUAGCUGUUGCAGAUAGGCUCUGAUAAACCAUCUCUGGCAUGGUACCACAAUCUGUGUAUUGAUCCAGCACUGAGAUUGUACAGCAAGUGUAGAUUACAAGAUUGCUGAAGUAAAUCAUAUCUCUGGCUGUAAUUGCAGAAAUAUGCACAUUGUAGAAGACUGGAGUCUAGUUUAGAGGUAGCUAGUUCCAGAAUGGCAGAAUUGGAUCCUCCUCGAGAGAAUUCUGAUUCAAGAGGAAACAAAAUCUUAGCUUCUACACUAGAAACUGGUCCAUGGAGAGUCCCAGUAAAGAGGAUUCGAGACCCAAAUGGAGAAAUGGAUGGGUGUUUGUGACUGCAUUUUAACCAAAGAUGGACCUGGAACAAUUGCGGAGGCGUUGAUAAGGGGCUUUCCAAUCAUGAAGCAAUGGCUAGGCAGUUGUAUUGCAGGCUCUGGUGUUGUGUUGGUGCAGUCGGUGUGUCCAAGGGAUAGGAGGGUUUUACUAAAACAUAAGUGUUAUUAGAUUUAUUUUUAUUUUUUUUGGUGUUGAAGUUUUGUAAAACUGAUUUUCUGUGAACAAUAGUGAUUAUAAUUGGAAGGAAAUCUGAUCUUCUUUUCAAAUACAUGGUUAUUAAAGUAUUAUACUAAUUUUGUAUU